AGGAACUCAAUAAGGUAUUUGCUGUCCAAGUGUUUGAUACAAUGCCACAGAGAGAAAAUGUUUUGAGUGUGAAUUAUACCCCAUAACGAACAAGGAGAUACAUAUAUGGAAAGCUUGCUUUUCCAUUGCUAGAGCUGGGUCAGAUGGCAGAUGCCAAAGAAGCUGCUAGUAAAGGACUUGAUAUCAACAAGCGAGACUGCUGGGCAGGCUGUGAGUUAUAUGUCGUGUACUGUCGAGCAGUAGAGUUCAGGGAAAAUGGUUGUCUUCAUGAGGUUCCUGUGGCUCAUCUUUUAUGUAUGUGGGAAUUUGGAUUAAGUUUCAUAUAAAUUUUGCACUAAUUGACUUCAGUAUUCAAGAACACACACAAUUGGUGGCAUGUUGCUCUACGUUAUUUGGGAUGCCAUUCUCCAAUAGAAAAGGCUGCAGAGGUUUAUGACCAAUGUAUAUGGAAGAAGUUAGAAAGAUCUGAUGCUGUGUCUCCUGAGGCUUGUUGCUGCGAGUGUAUGCGUGUGGUGACCUCAAGUUCUUUGGCGACCGCAUGAAGGUCCUAUCAAGUUGUUUAUCGAAUCAUCAGGUGAACGAUACAUACAUCCUUUAUGAUAAAUCUCCGUCUAGAAAUGAAACUAUUGGAGCUGUGCAAGUCAGAGGUAUAUGCAACAUUUUCUAAAUCGCGUUUAGCUUCAUUACUGUGGUCAUUGUUUCUGUAUAGGAUAACACUAGUUAUGAAAUGUUUUUCAUAUGUUAUUUGCUUGUGUAUUUGGGGAGGUCUGGGAGGAAGGGGGAGUGGAAUCAAAGGUUAAUGUAUUUCCAUACAUGCAACAUUUGUGGACUGAGACUGCUUCGCCCCCUAAUAUUCAAAUGGCCAC